GCUGAAAUAGCUCAGUUGGGAGAGCGUUAGACUGAAAAUCUAAAGGUCCCUGGUUCAAUCAUGGGUUUCGGCA